AGUGAACGCUGGCGGUAGGCCUAACACAUGCAAGCCGAACGGCAGCACAGUAAGAGCUUGCUCUUACGGGUGGCGAGUGGCGGACGGGUGAGGAAUACAUCGGAAUCUACUUUUUCACGGGGGAUAACGUAGGGAAACUUACGCUAAUACCGCAUACGACCUACGGGUGAAAGCAGGGGAUCUUCGGACCUUGCGCGAUUGAAUGAGGCGAUGUCGGAUUAGCUAGUUGGCGGGGUAAAGGCCCACCAAGGCGACGAUCCGUAGCUGGUCUGAGAGGAUGAUCAGCCACACUGGAACUGAGACACGGUCCAGACUCCUACGGGAGGCAGCAGUGGGGAAUAUUGGACAAUGGGCGCAAGCCUGAUCCAGCCAUACCGCGUGGGUGAAGAAGGCCUUCGGGUUGUAAAGCCCUUUUGUUGGGAAAGAAAAGCAGCAGGUUAAUACCCCGCUGUUCUGACGGUACCCAAAGAAUAAGCACCGGCUAACUUCGUG
rnacentral:rRNA from 1 species